GUCAAAUUAAAAAAACACAAAAUAAAUGCAGAAGGGAACUACAUCAUUAAAGGGGCAAAACAGGGUGGUUAGAGAAGCCUGAGCAAAAGAAUAGCAUAAAAUGUUAUAAGAGCUUAAAACCCAAAUUAAAUUAAAUUUUACCCAAUUUAACUGCAUAAAUCUAUAUAAGUGAGAUGUAAAGGAAGGUACCCUUGAAGUUUGUAUGUGGUCAAAAAUCAUUUCCCGGGUUACUUGUGCUUGGUGAUUCAGCUUGAGGCUCCCUUUUGCAAUGGUCAGAGGUUUCCCUUAUGUUUUACCAUCGGGUGUGCCAUCCUCUUCCCCAUCAUAUAGGUCUGAGCUGCGGCACUGAGGGUGAAGUGGCCUCAGAAAGAGCGAUGGAGAUUUGUGCUGAGAUGUCACAGAAACACAGCACUUGUGGUACCUGGAACAAGAGCUCACAGUGGACUCAAACAGGAAACUUUAGGAAGACUGACAUGUUUACUGAAGUUUGCAAGCUGAUGCACCAGCUUUGGCUGACGUACUUUGAAGUUCCAAGCUAGACAUCCUCAGCUUCACACAUACACUCCUAAUGUAAACCCAGCUGCACUGCUGAAUCCUUGCUUUCAUCCAACUCUGAAACAAAAGCAGAGAGUGGGUUUAGACUGAACCCAUGAAGAUUAAACCCCAGGGAAAUGAUAUUCGAUAACCCUUGACAAAGUGAAACAUUGACUUCAGUAACAUUCUUGCUCAAGUAACUAGUCAUCUGAGUUUUUAAUUUCUCUCCCUUUUUACCCUACUAUGGUUUUUUGCUGUGUUCUCAUCUCAUUGCUAAUACUUCCUUCGUUCCUGCCAGGUCAUUCCUCUUCCAGUUUGCAGAGUUGCCACCCCACUGCUUUUUCAGAAGAAAAAUCCAGUCACGUAGAUAAAGAAUAUCCCUGAAUUUCAACAGAUAUGUUUUAUAGACUAGCUGAGCAUAGAUCAUUAAAUAACCUUACCAUUGAAUGGUAAACUUUUAAAAUUAUUUGACUGUGUUAAGUAGCCCAAUUAAAAAGUGUACUCUCUAGAGCAUCUACUGACUAUGGAACUCACAUUUCUUAAUCAUAUGCUUAGAAGUCAGAUGGUGUAACCUUAAAAUGUGCAUUUCCUUCUGUUUAUAAAGAUAUGCCAUCUCCAGAUGAUCUAGAUUAUCUUUAAGGUCCCUUCCAACCCAAGCCUUUCUAUGAUUCCAUUUUCCACACUGCCUUAAAGAAUUAUGGGGAGUUUAAGGGAAAAAAAAAAAAAAAAAAAAAAAAAAAAUCGAAGAACUGCAGUGGAUUGCACUAGUCAGUCACACCAGUAAGUCUCAAACAGCUUAGUAAUCUUUAGUUUUGCUGGAAUCUUUUCCAGUGCGAUUGCCUGCACCACUCUGCUUGUAGAAAAGAUUCUUUGAACUGCUCUUAUGAUUGCUAUUAAACAUGUGUGGCUGUUAUCCAAAUGAAAGCCUUAUCCAAGAGCCUUAUGCUUUUUUGUUAAUCCAAGAAACAUGGGAAGGAGUAAAUGUUGUGCAAAAAAAAGGUGCUUUGGACAGAUUAUACAGAUAAGAGGACAUAGUUGUGAGCAAGCAGAGAAAAACUUAUGGAACAGAGUACGCAAACCUGCUGAUAUUUCCUGAAGCUCAAACUGCCUUCAGGUGUUUAUCAUGAGUCUGAAAGUUACAUUCUGCUACAAGAAUGAGAAAAAUUAGCUCUUCCAAAAUUUUAGUGUUGCUUUUGUCCUGUUGUGAAUUUUUUGUUCCUGUAUGCAAGCUUCCAAGUACGAAGUUGGCUACAUUUUUCAUGCUUCAUUCUUCCUUUUGAUCGGUAAAGCUCAUCUCAUUUGUGUAUAACAUAGUUAACCACCUGCUGGAUGGUACAAACUUUUUUAUUUAGAGGAAAUUUAUUUCUAUCAAGUGGUCUGUGAAGAGGCCUUUUUGUUUCUAAAAUGUUUAAGGUACUUCCUUCUUUACAAUGGGAAUGCUCUCAGAUUGUUAGGGAGAAACAAAGAAGCAAUGGUGGCAGUUUAGAAGCUGUAAUUGGGAUAUAAAUGGUUCACAAGUACAUCUCUUAAAACUUCUUUUUAAAGGGUGAAAUUCAUACCACAUGACUUUCACUGCACUGGAGUCCCCCCCUAAGUCCCAGAAUGGAGUCACCUAAACCAAGGAUGUAAUUCAAAGGUGGUUCUUAAGGAAAAAAACCAUACUAAAAAUUGGAAUUGAAUUGAUGAAACAAGAUAAUUGCUGAUAUUCCUCUGUAUAAAACUGUCAGAUUUUGCUUUUUUGGAUAUCAAUCAAUUUCUGUGGUUUUUUUGAUUAUCUUUCAGUAUCAUAAGUUGGGUACCACCUCAAAGAUAUUCUACAGAAAUAAAAGUAUUUGUAAAUAUGGAAGCACUUAAAUACUGUUACCAAAGUGAAUCUUUUUGAAAAGACAGUAGUAUUUUUUGAAAGAAUUAACAGGAGCCCAUAUUUUUUGACAGAAUUGUGAAUAUCAAAUCCCAAACUAGAAGCAAUAGUAACAUAAUUGCUGAUAACAAAUACAGACCAUAUUAAAUUUUAUCCCAAACACAGAGUAGACUAGUCCCCGUUUUCAGAAAUCAUCUUCUAGAGCAUGAGGAUCACUGGAGCUGGGGUGAACUAUUCUGGAACAGCAGAGAUUUGGCUUUCUGCCAGAGACUCCCUUGAGCCAGGUCAUUUGGCCUGAGUAUUCACCUAUAAAAUGAGAGAUUUGACACCCUCCAGUAUUCAUGAUUAUAAAUAAAUCUGAUUAGAUGAACAAUCAGAAACAAAGACCAAAACAUAUUAACAGCCUGUGCUCCUCUCUAAGGAAAUUAGAGGCUAACUACAGACAUUAGGAUGUCUGUUAAUGAGCUCAAGUCUGUGGAGGUGGAGUCUUACAUUUCAGAGUUCAUUCACCAUCUUCCUUUUUCAAACUUUUUCAUGGAAAGGCAAUUUCUUCAUGAGGAGUUCUGUGAAAUCUGGCAGGAUUUUUACAUUAAAUACAUUAAUAUUUUAAAAAGAUUUCUGAAUUCAUUUUAGCAGAGAAUUUCCAUUCAAAUACUGAAUUUGCAGACAGCAAUUUUAAGAUAUAUGAAUCCUCUGAUAUUUCUUGAUGUCUUUUAGGUAAUAAAUAAAAGACAUCACAUUGCAGUUGUUUGCCUCAGAUUACUGCAGUGAGACCUUUGUCCAGUAAAGAAUUGUUCAAGAUUCAUGGUUCAAUAAUUGAAUUAACACGGUGAAGAGAUAAUUCGCAAAAGUCACAGUCCAAGUGUUCUUUGGUCAUAAAUGAAACAAACCAAAUUCUUUCUUUCCUUUCUUCUUUCCUUUGUUCUCUGGUGAUGUUGCUAUUUUCUUAAACUAAAAUAUGUCUUAAAUAAACAAUUUGGAUUAAUUCCUCUUCUUGUAGCCUUUUACUUCUGCCCUUAGACCAUCCAAGAAAAGUGGAAAGGGAUUCCCUCAAAUUCACAUUUUUGAGGUAGGAAAAUGUGUUCCAGGCAUUUAUUGCACGUUUGGUUCAUUUUCACAGUUAAAAUGGCUCUGUGUGGUGGAAGACUCUCCUCUGCUCCUGGCUCCUCCUUCAGCUAAGCAAUAAUGGGGGGACAGGGCUGUGAAGUCACAACCCACAUUGUGAAAAGAGAUCACAUCCAUCAAACUGUCACCUUCGUUUUCUCUCCAGGGUCACAGAGGAACAAAGUCAGCUUGUGCCAGGUUGAAAUAGCAUUGGUAAGUGUUAGUGUGUGUGAAGCUGGUGGCUUGAAGUCUAUUUAUUUUGUUUGAAAGGCUCAAACAGCAUGCUGCCAAGCAGAGGAACAAGCAGGAGGAAGUCUCCUUAUAAAUUAUUACUGGAAGGCUCACAGCCAACAUUUAAGAUGUGAAAUUAUGCCAUCUGCUUUUCUAGGUCUUUGAUUUACUUUGUGGCAGCUGC
ensembl:lncRNA